rnacentral:rRNA from 1 species
AUUGAACGCUGGCGGCAUGCCUUACACAUGCAAGUCGAACGGUAACGGGCCUUCGGGUGCCGACGAGUGGCGAACGGGUGAGUAAUGUAUCGGAACGUACCUUUCAGUGGGGGAUAACGUAGCGAAAGUUACGCUAAUACCGCAUAUUCUGUGAGCAGGAAAGCAGGGGAUCGCAAGACCUUGCGCUGAUUGAGCGGCCGAUAUCAGAUUAGCGUAGUUGGUGAGGUAAAGGCUCACCAAGGCGACGAUCUGUAGCGGGUCUGAGAGGAUGAUCCGCCACACUGGAACUGAGACACGGUCCAGACUCCUACGGGAGGCAGCAGUGGGGAAUUUUGGACAAUGGGGGCAACCCUGAUCCAGCCAUGCCGCGUGAGUGAAGAAGGCCUUCGGGUUGUAAAGCUCUUUCGGCCGGGAAGAAAUCGUAUGGGUUAAUACCCUGUGCGGAUGACGGUACCGGCAUAAGAAGCACCGGCUAACUACGUG